GGGCCCGCACAAGUAGUGGAGCAUGUGGUUUAAUUCGAAGAUACGCGCAGAACCUUACCAACACUUGACAUGUUCGUCGCGACUUUAAGAGAUUAAAGUUUUCGGUUCGGCCGGACGAAACACAGGUGCUGCAUGGCUGUCGUCAGCUCGUGUCGUGAGAUGUUGGUUAAGUCCCGCAACGAUGCGCAACCCUCACUUUUAGUUGCCAUCAUUAAGUUGGGCACUCUGAAAGAACUGCCAGUGAUAAGCUGGAGGAAGGUGGGGAUGACGUCAAGUCCUCAUGGCCCUUACGUGUUGGGCUACACACGUGCUACAAUGGCUAGGACAGACGGCCGCAAACCCGCGAGGGGGAGCCAA
rnacentral:rRNA from 1 species